rnacentral:rRNA from 1 species
GACGAACGCUGGCGGCGUGCCUAAUACAUGCAAGUCGAACGCACAGUUUAUACCGUAGCUUGCUACACCAUAGACUGUGAGUUGCGAACGGGUGAGUAACGCGUAGGUAACCUGCCUGGUAGCGGGGGAUAACUAUUGGAAACGAUAGCUAAUACCGCAUAAUAUUAAUUAUUGCAUGAUAAUUAAUUGAAAGGUGCAAUUGCACCACUACCAGAUGGACCUGCGUUGUAUUAGCUAGUAGGUGAGGUAACGGCUCACCUAGGCGACGAUACAUAGCCGACCUGAGAGGGUGAUCGGCCACACUGGGACUGAGACACGGCCCAGACUCCUACGGGAGGCAGCAGUAGGGAAUCUUCGGCAAUGGACGAAAGUCUGACCGAGCAACGCCGCGUGAGGGAAGAAGGUUUUCGGAUCGUAAAGCUCUGUUGUAAGAGAAGAACGGGUGUGAGAGUGGAAAGUUCACACUGUGACGGUAUCUGACCAGAAAGGGACGGCUAACUACGUG